GGUACAAAGAUUAUUUUAUACUUAUAAUAUCGUCAUGUUUUGCUAUUCCUUGUAUACUAUUAGUCCAUUUGGAGAGAAAGUGUGCAGCCCUACAUAACAUUGUACUACAGCACGAGUCACUUCUAAAGGCCAGUAGUUUAAAGCAAGAUUCGUGGAAGGACCAGUAUCUCGAUGAAUUUCGAGAAGACUUAAAGAAGCUGAAACUGGAGCUUGAGUUACAAAGAAAGGAAACUGAUGAAUGUCUCAAAGACAGAAAAAAAUAUGAGGCUGAAUUUUUAAAAGUAUCAAGAAUUUGGGAGGAAAAUCAGAUACAUUUUAAACCAAAUCAAGAUGACAUAAAGAAGACCCCAAUGGAACAAACAAACCAAGA